rnacentral:tRNA from 1 species
GUUUUUAUGGGCGUCCUGAACAUUGGUAUGUCGAUUUUAAGCAUCGACCAAAACUGGCAGCGUGCGGUAAAAGGUGCCGUCCUUUUGGCAGCC